CAGUAGCCACGGUAAUACGGAGGGGGCUAGCGUUGUUCGGAAUUACUGGGCGUAAAGCGCACGUAGGCUGCUUUGUAAAUCAGAGGUGAAAGCCCGGGGCUCAACCCCGGAUGUGCCUUUGAGACUGCAGGGCUAGAACGUCGGAGAGGUGAGUGGAAUUCCGAGUGUAGAGGUGAAAUUCGUAGAUAUUCGGAAGAACACCAGUGGCGAAGGCGGCUCACUGGACGACUGUUGACGCUGAGGUGCGAAAGCGUGGGGAGCAAACAGGAUUAGAUACCCGCGUAGUCCCUGUCUCUUAUAC
rnacentral:rRNA from 1 species